rnacentral:lncRNA from 1 species
CAGAGAGGCGCUAUGCCUCCCUGCCGGCGACACGAUACAGCGCUGCAGAACCGACCCCGACGCAGCCGCCAUCGCUGAUGCCACUGCCAGUCAUGCGGUUCCGCCCCUGCGUUGCCGCGCGGGGCCGCGCACGCAAAUACGCAGGCACGCGCGGGAGCACGCCCGGGAGCGCGCAUGCGCAGCGCUGCUGGCCCGCUCUCUGAGGAGCUUUCAAUACUUUGGGGUCAAGUUUGAGGCAGUUGUAACUGUACUGAGUUUAGUUUUGCUAAUAAUGGUAUUCUACGUGUGUCAGCCUCGUGUGGACUUCUGUAAUGACUAAUGGAUAUGUUUAUAUCCUGAGCAUUUGCUGUAGGAAUUUUAAAUGCAAUCCCAAAACUCAAGAUUACCUUAUUUGGAGAAAUAUUCGUGUUACUAUGUUUAAAAUUUAAUAGAACCAUAUUUUACCUUUCACUUUGGGACUCGCACAGGAUGUUUGCAGCUCUUGAUAUACAGCAAUCUCAACUGUUGCUUUAAUAUGUACCAAUGACAGUCUUUGAAAAACUAUUUAUCCAGAACUAGAACGUGUCUUUUAAGAGCAUGCGGUUUUAUAAUUACGUGGAAGUAUGCUACGCAAGGGAAAAAAGCCUCUUGCGAGUGUUAAGGGUCUUCAUAAACAGAAACCGCAAGGAACCUGGGAUCUGACAGCUGUUGGAGGAAUGCCUGUGAGGAAGGAGGAGGAACAGAAGGUAACUGAGGAUCCUUGAAGAAUUUUUGGAAGUGAAGUAACCAAACAUAAUUUUUCUUUUGGACGAUGAGAAUGCUUUGAUGUCUUAAAUGGUACAUCCAAACUUAAGUGAAAUAGAGCUGUGAGGACGAUUGUGAUGAUUUCCUGUGCCAUAGCCAUUCAAAGUCUGCCAAAAAAGCUAGCAUGUAAUUUUCUUUCUCUACUUCUCUACAUUUGGAGGAUGGAAAUGUAGAUGUUCUUCCAUUGUGCCAGCCUCCUCAUUCUUCUUUCUCCAAUGCCGCAUCUUCCUGCAAACUUCCUGCCACAACUCAAACAACAGGAAAAUAAAUGAUCUGAAAUCCUCCUGAACUGCAGCCUACCUAUCGUGGUCUCUAUGGGUGCAAACUUCCUGAGUGGAGAAGGAGCAGUUUUUCCAUUUCCCUGAAAAGAAUUGAGUGAAGUUGACAGCAGGAUUGCAGAAGUGGGAGGACCC